rnacentral:rRNA from 1 species
CAGAGUUUGAUCCUGGCUCAGGAUGAACGCUAGCGGCAGGCUUAAUACAUGCAAGUCGAACGGUAACCUGGUUGCUUGCAACCAGAACGAGUGGCGCACGGGUGCGUAACACGUAUGCAACCUACCCUUCACCGGGGGACAACCCCGAGAAAUCAGGGCUAAUACCCCAUGGCAUCAAACAUCGGCAUCGUUGUUUGAUUAAAGAUUCGUCGGUGAGGGAUGGGCAUGCGCCCCAUUAGCUAGUCGGUGAGGUAACGGCUCACCGAGGCCACGAUGGGUAGGGGACCUGAGAGGGUUAUCCCCCACACUGGUACUGAGACACGGACCAGACUCCUACGGGAGGCAGCAGUAAGGAAUAUUGGGCAAUGGAGGCAACUCUGACCCAGCCAUGCCGCGUGCAGGAAGACGGCCCUACGGGUUGUAAACUGCUUUUGCACGGGAAUAAUCGCCGCGACGCGUCGCGGUUUGCAGGUACCGUGCGAACAAGCAUCGGCUAACUCCGUGCCAGCAGCCGCGGUAAUACGGAGGAUGCGAGCGUUAUCCGGAUUUAUUGGGUUUAAAGGGUGCGUAGGCUGGUACUUAAGUCAGUGGUGAAAUCCACCGGCUCAACUGGUGAACUGCCGUUGAUACUGGGUACCUGGAGUGUAGUUGACGCGGGCGGAAUGUGUCAUGUAGCGGUGAAAUGCAUAGAGAUGACACAGAACACCGAUAGCGAAGGCAGCUCGCGAAGCUAUAACUGACGCUGAUGCACGAAAGCGUGGGGAUCAAACAGGAUUAGAUACCCUGGGUAGUCCACGCUGUAAACGAUGAUCACUAGCUGUGGGCGAUACACUGUCCGUGGCCAAGCGAAAGCGAUAAGUGAUCCACCUGGGGAGUACGUCGGCAACGAUGAAAACUCAAAGGAAUUGACGGGGGCCCGCACAAGCGGAGGAGCAUGUGGUUUAAUUCGAUGAUACGCGAGGAACCUUACCUGGGCUUGAACGUACGGUGCAUUGGGGUGAAAGCCCCAUUUCUAGCAAUAGACUUCGUACGAGGUGCUGCAUGGCUGUCGUCAGCUCGUGCCGUGAGGUGUUAGGUUAAGUCCUGCAACGAGCGCAACCCCUGUCCCUAGUUGCCAUCACUUCAAGGUGGGGACUCUAGGGAAACUGCCUGCGCAAGCAGAGAGGAAGGUGGGGAUGACGUCAAGUCAGCACGGCCCUUACGUCCAGGGCUACACACGUGCUACAAUGGCCGGUACAGAGGGCAGCCACCCCGCGAGGGGGCGCGAAUCUCCAAAGCCGGUCCCAGUUCGGAUCGGAGUCUGCAACUCGACUCCGUGAAGCUGGAUUCGCUAGUAAUCGCAGAUCAGCCAUGCUGCGGUGAAUACGUUCCCGGGCCUUGUACACACCGCCCGUCAAGCCAUGGGAGUCGGGGGUACCUGAAGUCGAUAACCCAAAAGGAGUCGCCUAGGGUAAAACCGAUGACUGGGGCUAAGUCGUAAGCAAGGUAACCGUA